UCAUUGCUGGAACAAACGCCCUCACGGGUGCUACCCAGAAACCCUUUGUGAAUUAUUCUCUAUUGUUGCCUCGGCGCAGACUGGCUUCGUACGAAGUCCCUUGUUGGCAACAGCAAGGAGCAGGUCGGCCGGUGGCCCUAUAAACUCUAUGUUUUUCUUGUAUCUUCUGAGUAAACAACUAUAAAUGAAUCAAAACUUUUAACAACGGAUCUCUUGGUUCUGGCAUCGAUGAAGAACGCAGCGAAAUGCGAUAAGUAAUGUGAAUUGCAGAAUUCAGUGAAUCAUCGAAUCUUUGAACGCACAUUGCGCCCGCUGGUAUUCCAGCGGGCAUGCCUGUUCGAGCGUCAUUUCAACCCUCAAAACCUCGGUUUUGGUGUUGGAGGACUACGCAGUAAAACGCGUAGCCUCUGAAAUUCAGUGGCGGGCUCGCUAGAAUUUUGAGCGUAGUAAUUUAUACCUCGUUUGUAAAGACUAGUGAUGCUUUUCUUGCCGUAAAACCCCCCAACUUUCUGA
rnacentral:rRNA from 1 species